rnacentral:sRNA from 1 species
UGAUACUAGGGUCAAAAGGUCACAUUUUCAUGCUUGCAUGAAAAAUUGUGACUUUGGGACCCGCAAAAACAUGAAAAAUUCGUCAUAAGGCAUCCGUCACUUUGUAACACCUUACGACAUAAAGUAGCCCGAUUCGGGCGAAUUUUGAAUG